rnacentral:tRNA from 1 species
GAGGGUGGUUAAAAUUUUCAUUUACAUUGAAGAAUACCUUUUAAGGCACUUUCA